AACGAACGCUGGCGGCAGGCCUAACACAUGCAAGUCGAGCGCCCCGCAAGGGGAGCGGCGGACGGGUGAGUAACGCGUGGGGAUAUGCCCUUUGCUACGGAAUAGUCUCGGGAAACUGGGGGUAAUACCGUAUACGCCCUUUGGGGGAAAGAUUUAUCGGCGAAGGAUUAGCCCGCGUUGGAUUAGGUAGUUGGUGGGGUAAUGGCCUACCAAGCCGACGAUCCAUAGCUGGUUUGAGAGGAUGAUCAGCCACACUGGGACUGAGACACGGCCCAGACUCCUACGGGAGGCAGCAGUGGGGAAUCUUAGACAAUGGGGGCAACCCUGAUCGAGCCAUGCCGCGUGAGUGAUGAAGGCCUUAGGGUUGUAAAGCUCUUUCAGCUGGGAAGAUAAUGACGGUACCAGCAGAAGAAGCCCCGGCUAACUCCGUG
rnacentral:rRNA from 1 species